GGUCGCGUGGCCGAAAGGUCUAAGGGGCUGGUUUUAGGCACCAGUCUCAUAGUAGGCGUGGGUUCGAAUCCCACCGCUGCCA